rnacentral:rRNA from 1 species
CAGUCGCCGCGGGAAUACGUAGGGUGCAAGCGUUAAUCGGAAUUACUGGGCGUAAAGCGUGCGCAGGCGGUUAUAUAAGACAGAUGUGAAAUCCCCGGGCUCAACCUGGGAACUGCAUUUGUGACUGUAUAGCUAGAGUACGGCAGAGGGGGAUGGAAUUCCGCGUGUAGCAGUGAAAUGCGUAGAUAUGCGGAGGAACACCGAUGGCGAAGGCAAUCCCCUGGGCCUGUACUGACGCUCAUGAACGAAAGCGUGGGGAGCAAACAGGAUUAGAUACCCCAGUAGUCCCUGUCUCUUAUAC